rnacentral:rRNA from 1 species
UACAGAGGGGGCAAGCGUUAUUCGGAAUUAUUGGGCGUAAAGGGCGCGUAGGCGGCUUGGCAAGUGGAUGGUGAAAUCCCUCGGCUUAACCGAGGAACUGCCGUCCAAACUGCUUUGCUUGAGACCGGGAGAGGUGAGUGGAAUUCCCAGUGUAGCGGUGAAAUGCGCAGAUAUCAGGAGGAACACCGGUGGCGAAGGCGGGUCUCGUGGGCAGUAACUGACGCUGAGGAGCGAAAGGCGUGGGGAGCGAACAGG